GCUAAUCAAGCCCUACAUGAAGGGCUGAAAGCGAAGCCAAUGCAGAAGUGCCAAAAGCUGCAGUUGAUUUAAUGGCCACUUGAGACCAAAUCCAAAAAGUGGAACUUUGGAUUAACCAGCAGCAAGUUAAAGUUUACAAGAAGCAUGCAUCAAAAUAAGAACCCUGAGCAUUUCAAAAAAAAUGUUGUCGAGGUCUCAAUUACUAACGUGGCGCAUAACAGAGCCUGAAACUGGCGUCUAUAUUUCCCCACGUGAAGGCUGCGAACUAUAAAACACAAACUUGACAGAAUAUGCGUUCCCUCAAGCAAACC